UACGGAGGGUGCGAGCGUUGUCCGGAAUCAUUGGGCGUAAAGGGCGCGUAGGCGGCCACGCACGUCCGUUGUGAAAUCGCCCGGCUCAACUGGGCGGGGUCAGCGGAUACGGUGUGGCUCGAGCAAGCUAGGGGGCAAUGGAAUUCCCGGUGUAGUGGUGGAAUGCGUAGAUAUCGGGAGGAACACCAGUGGCGAAGGCGGUUGCCUGGAGCUUUGCUGACGCUGAGGCGCGAAAGCGUGGGGAGCGAUCCGG
rnacentral:rRNA from 1 species